UGACUUAGAAACAACACGCGAUGCAUUU
rnacentral:piRNA from 1 species